GACGAACGCUGGCGGCGUGCUUAACACAUGCAAGUCGAGCGGUAAGGCCCUUUCGGGGUACACGAGCGGCGAACGGGUGAGUAACACGUGGGUGACCUGCCCUCAGCUCUGGGAUAAGCCCGGGAAACUGGGUCUAAUACCGGAUAUGACUCCAUGACGCAUGUUGUGGGGUGGAAAGCCUUGUGCGGCUGAGGAUGGGCCCGCGGCCUAUCAGCUUGUUGGUGGGGUGAUGGCCACCAAGGCGACGACGGGUAGCCGGCCUGAGAGGGCGACCGGCCACACUGGGACUGAGAUACGGCCCAGACUCCUACGGGAGGCAGCAGUGGGGAAUCUUGCGCAAUGGGCGAAAGCCUGACGCAGCGACGCCGCGUGAGGGAUGACGGCCUGG
rnacentral:rRNA from 1 species